rnacentral:rRNA from 1 species
UCGAGGAUCUUCGGCAAUGGGGGCAACCCUGACCGAGCGACGCCGCGUGUGCGACGAAGGCCUUCGGGUUGUAAAGCACUGUCGAGGGGGAGAAAGGCCGAAAGGCGUGAUCUAUCCCUGGAGGAAGCUCGGGCUAAGUUCGUGCCAGCAGCCGCGGUAAGACGAACCGAGCGAACGUUGUUCGGAAUAACUGGGCUUAAAGGGCGCGUAGGCGGGCCGCCAAGUUCGAGGUGAAAUCCUCCGGCUCAACCGGAGAACUGCCUCGAAUACUGGAGGCCUCGAGGCGGGUAGGGGCAUGCGGAACUGUGGGUGGAGCGGUGAAAUGCGUUGAUAUCCACAGGAACUCCGGUGGCGAAGGCGGCAUGCUGGACCCGAUCUGACGCUGAGGCGCGAAAGCCAGGGGAGCAAACGGGAUUAGAUACCCCCGUAGUCC